rnacentral:rRNA from 1 species
UUUUGCAUAUACUUCAAAACGGAGGAAAAGAAACCAACAGGGAUUGCCUCAGUAACGGCGAGUGAAGCGGCAACAGCUCAAAUUUGAAAUCUGGCCUCCCGGGGUCCGAGUUGUAAUUUGUAGAGGAUGUUUUGGGUACCGCCCCGGUUUAAAUUUCUUGGAACAGAAUGUCAGAGAGGGUGAGAAUCCCGUCUUGGACCGGUGGUAGGGCCUGUGUAAAACUCCUUCGACGAGUCGAGUUGUUUGGGAAUGCAGCUCAAAAUGGGUGGUAAAUUUCAUCUAAAGCUAAAUAUUGGCCAGAGACCGAUAGCGCACAAGUAGAGUGAUCGAAAGAUGAAAAGAACUUUGAAAAGAGAGUUAAACAGUAUGUGAAAUUGUUGAAAGGGAAGCGCUUGCAACCAGACUUGAGCGCGACGGUUCCCCUAGCCUUUUGGCUAGGUUACUCCGUCGUGUCCAGGCCAACAUCGGUUCUGAGGGUCGGUCAAAGGCUCUGGGAAUGUAUCUACCCACGGGUAGACUUAUAGACCAGGGUGUCAUGCGACCUCUCGGGACCGAGGAACGCGCUUCGGCUCGGAUGUUGGCGUAAUGGUUGUCAGCGACCCGUCUUAAUCGGAACCAAAAACGGCUUGCUGAUGUAGCUAGGUCACUCGAGUCUAGUCGCCUACUAGAACUGUAAUCUACUUUGGUUAUUGGCUUAAUGACUCUAAAUGGCCCGUCUUGAACCACGGGACCA